CCUACGGGUGGCAGCAGUGAGGAAUAUUGGUCAAUGGACGCGAGUCUGAACCAGCCAAGUCGCGUGAAGGAUGACGGCUCUAUGGGUUGUAAACUUCUUUUAUACGGGAAUAAAAUGAUAUACGUGUGGCACUUUGUAUGUACCAUAUGAAUAAGGAUCGGCUAACUCCGUGCCAGCAGCCGCGGUAAUACGGAGGAUCCGAGCGUUAUCCGGAUUUAUUGGGUUUAAAGGGUGCGUAGGUGGACGGUUAAGUCAGUUGUGAAAGUCUGCGGCUCAACCGUAGAAUUGCAGUUGAAACUGGCAGGCUUGAGUAUAGUAGAGGUAGGCGGAAUGCGUGGUGUAGCGGUGAAAUGCUUAGAGAUCACGCAGAACUCCGAUUGCGAAGGCAGUUCACUAAGCUACGACUGACGCUGAGGCACGAAAGUGUGGGGAGCAAACAGGAUUAGAUACCCCGGUAGUC
rnacentral:rRNA from 1 species